rnacentral:lncRNA from 1 species
GAGGAAGGAAAAAAAUUUCUGUGUUCUCUUUUAGGGCACUAUUCUUUCCUGUCCCCCAGGAGGGGAGUAACAGGUGAAUCUUGCUGGGAUCAUUUUGAAUUUCCAGGGCUUCCCUCCGGAUUAAUCCCCUCACAGGCACGGAAGGCAGCCUGGUGGACUCCGCUUGCCUGCGCCCCAGUCGGGCAGCCCUAUCUUUCCAAUUCGCAGCCAGGCCAGCCCUUUCUGCUGCACAGAGAUCUACUAGACCCCAAGUGGGGGGAAUCUGGGCGGCUUGAGAGGCCAAUGAUGGCCGUAAUCAUUUUCAAAGGUAUCGUUUCCACCUGGGAAGGGACUUGAACGGGCAACACAGCACUUCAUGAAUAAUUAUGAGGGAGCUGCGAAAGCUCGCUCUUUCCUGUGUGCGGAGGAAAGGGGAGCUGAAGGCUGCACCACUGUAGACAGCCAGGCAACCCCAGCCUGGGAGGAAGGAAGGGCAGUGGCGUGAAGGGAGGGGCAGAGAGCAGAGGCAGCUCGUGCCAGCCAGUCUGACUCUCCCCUAAGGAGUGGCAGUGAAACCUUCUGCCGAAGACUCUGCCGUACAGGGAGAGCCAGAGGGGCUCCUCUGGCCCCAAGGGGCCAAUAUCUAGAGGUGGGAAACUGGCCGCCAUAACCUGCACUCCCCACUGUGGUGAGGACAACCCCUCCACCGGGCCCCUUUACUUGGCAAGUGGCUAUUUUCCGUGUUCUUCCUGUUCCCCUGCUGAUUUUAGAAGAAUGGUCCUUAGACAUUUAAACAAAUGCAAAGAAAUGUUUGUAAAGUAAAAUGCUACAGUACAUAGGAUGUGAGGACAAUCUGACUGUAAGAAAUACUGAUGAGUUGCCUCACUUGGUGGCCAAGAUUUGAUUCACAGAGCUGUCUGCCCUGGCAUGCAGAGCUCUGGAAGCUGGGAGAAGAGAAAAGACAGCAUUCCUGCGGAUUCCCAGUCAUUUCCAGUCAUGCUUCUCUGUGUUUCGGAUGUACGGUGCCCUCCCAAAGAGAGAGUGUGGCUUUAAACUAAUGAGAUGGAAGGUGCCAUGACAGCGCAGAGUAUCAUAGCCUUUCCACCACUCUGGUUUUACUUUUCAUGAAGAUUAUUAACAUUUGGCAAAGAGUCAUUACUUGACAAUUUAUUAUCCUGUUCAAAUCCAGGUAGGUUAAAAGUUUAAACUUUUUAUACCAAAAGUCAAGUCUCCUGUGCUUUAUAGAAACCCCAGAUACCACAUGGUAGAAAAAAAGAUCAUGAAUUUCAUUCGAAAAGCC